CUGCACUGAUGACAGUAGAUGUGACUGACCUGGCAUUGGUGACCUCCGGGUCAGCACUGGCCAGGAAAUGACCUCCCUUAAUCUUCUCUCUGAGCAG
ensembl:snoRNA